GAAGUAUUGAACAUGCUUGAGAAAUAAUUUGAUUCUCUAAAUUCAUUUGCAUGUUCUGAGUAGUUACCACCCUUUGCAUGUCUAUGGCUUGCUGCUUAUGUUUAGAGGAAUUGUAGUUUGUUGACUUAGAAACUUUUUGGUUUUACGUAAUAUGAAUUUGGCACAUAUAUGCUAUUUAAAUCAAUUGCUAUAUUGACUUUAUGUAUUCUUAUUAGCAGCCAGCAGUCAACACCGUCUGUGGUCACAAAGAAACGACUUAAUCUAAUGAAAUUUAACAGGAUGCAAUUUUAUUCUCUAGUUUAGAGCUAUGCUUAUGAUACAGGGUAUUAUAGGGAAAGAAAGCUUCUUGACAAUGACAUUUAAUACUACAAAAAUGUAUUUUUACUACUUAUAAAUGUUAAGCAUAGCAUCCAAUAAAACAGAUGGACACAUACACACACAUGCACCCCUACCUGUUCUCUCUCUUUUUCUCAAUAAUAAAAAUCCUCUAAUAAUUCAUGCGUUUUAAAGUAUUUAUACUUAAAUACUUUGUCAGUGCUUUCCUAUAGCCUACUCAUAACUAGCACCUGGUAUAUAAAUUCCAGAGUAGAAAUAGGAGCAAGUUGCUUAUUUAAAUAGAAAAA
rnacentral:lncRNA from 1 species